rnacentral:tRNA from 1 species
GCGGUUGUAGCUCAGCUGGUUAGAGCGCCAGAUUGUGGAUCUGGAGGUCCUCGGUUCGACCCCGAGCAACCGUACCA